UGAACGUGACCUUCGUGCCCGGCUGAUGAUAAAAUGACCAGGUUACAUAUUUCCUGACCACGGAAAAGUCUUAGUUAAAACGUUGUAAUGUCACGUGAACAACUAGAGUCCAAUGCCUUUCUUGUAGCUCUUCCUAGUCAUCACCAAUACCAGGUCUUCCUAGUCAUCACCUAUACCAGGUCUUCCUAGUCAUCACCAGGUCUUCAUAGUCAUCACCUAUACCAGGUCUUCAUAGUCAUCACCUAUACCAGGUCUUCAUAGUCAUCACCUAUACCAGGUCUUCCUAGUCAUCACCUAUACCAGGUCUUCCUAGUCAUCACCUAUACCAGGUCUUCCUAGUCAUCACCUAUACCAGGUCUUCCUAGUCAUCACCUAUACCAGGUCUUCCUAGUCAUCACCUAUACCAGGUCUUCCUAGUCAUCACCUAUACCAGGUCUUCAUAGUCAUCACCUAUACCAGGUCUUCAUAGUCAUCACCUAUACCAGGUCUUCAUAGUCAUCACCUAUACCAGGUCUUCAUAGUCAUCACCUAUACCAGGUCUUCCUAGUCAUCACCUAUACCAGGUCUUCAUAGUCAUCACCUAUACCAGGUCUUCCUAGUCAUCACCUAUACCAGGUCUUCAUAGUCAUCACCUAUACCAGGUCUUCCUAGUCAUCACCAGGUCUUCAUAGUCAUCACCUAUACCAGGUCUUCCUAGUCAUCACCUAUACCAGGUCUUCAUAGUCAUCACCUAUACCAGGUCUUCCUAGUCAUCACCAGGUCUUCAUAGUCAUCACCUAUACCAGGUCUUCCUAGUCAUCACCUAUACCAGGUCUUCAUAGUCAUCACCUAUACCAGGUCUUCUUAGUCAUCACCAGGUCUUCAUAGUCAUCACCAGGUCUUCCUAGUCAUCACCAA